UACGUAGGGUACGAGCGUUGUCCGGAAUUAUUGGGCGUAAAGAGCUCGUAGGUGGUUGGUCACGUCUGCUGUGGAAACGCAACGCUUAACGUUGCGCGUGCAGUGGGUACGGGCUGACUAGAGUGCAGUAGGGGAGUCUGGAAUUCCUGGUGUAGCGGUGAAAUGCGCAGAUAUAAGGAGGAACACCGGUGGCGAAGGCGGGACUCUGGGCUGUAACUGACACUGAGGAGCGAAAGCAUGGGGAGCGAACAGG
rnacentral:rRNA from 1 species